ensembl:lncRNA
UGGAGGUUUAUUUUGUCCAAGACCUUGUGCCCAGGAGGCGAACUCGGCUGGAGGCGAGGUCAGCUGACCGCGAUGCCCCCUGGAGGUGCCGCCGCACAGGGUCCCGCGUGGAUAGUCCUCGGGGAAACGGCCUUUCCACGCGGAUCCUUCUUCAUCUGGGACAUUGACGCUGUCAUGUUGUUUAAUUUCUAUCAUAUCUCACACAGCUAAUCAUUUUAAAUCUGUGAAGUUUCUUCUGAAAAUUAGGACUUUGUAGUUGCCACAAGUUCCACUAGAGGGCGGCAAAGGGCUACAUCUGAGCGAAGCUGCUGGGAGGAAAAACGAUUGAAAAGCCUUUGCUGGGGUUAAGCGGAAUGCGCGGGGCGUCUGCUCCCCGGCUUCCCAACGUAAAAUCGUUGUAACUGCUAGAAGCAUCAGAGAACUUUAAUGGACCAGCAGUAAACCGUGUGUGUUGGGCACACAAUUUACAAAUGAGAAAUCGAGCUCACUGCCCCGAAGAGGAUCACAGCCCAGGCCAUGCUUCCAACCCAGCGGGACCCACUUCUUGGAGGAGAGCUGGCAGCCAGCCCGGGCUCCUGGGCAGGCCCUUGGAGUGGGCGCAGAUCCUGGGCUUCCCCCAAACACACCUGAAGCAGCCCUUCCAGUCAUGUGGCGACUCUCCAUGAGAGGAAUUCUCGUAAAUGCAGUUUUCUUCAUCUGGUUGAACAGUCAGCCCUCCUUAUUUGAGGUUCCGCAUCUUCUGAUUCAACCAACUGCUGAUGGAAAGGCCCACGAUGGUUGCAUCUGUACUGAACAUGUACAGACUUUUUUUCUUGUCAUUAUUAUCUAAACAGUACAGUCUAACACUAUUCACAUAGCAUUUACAUUGUAUUAGGUAUUAUAAGUAAUCUAGAGAUGACAAAGAAAGUAGAGGAUGUGCAUGGGUUAUAUGGAAAUACUACACCAUUUUGUGUAAGGGACUUGAGCAUCCUGGAUUUUGGUAUCCCUGGGGGUCCUGGACCAAUCUCCUGUGGAUACAAAGGGACAACUGUAUUUCAAGAGUGGUUUUAGUAUUUCAGUUGCUUUUUCUUGUUCUUUGUGUCUUGAGGGAUCCGCCCAGCUGGCCAACCCUCCAACCUGACUCUGCUCCUGUUGAGCUGUAGGAAGAAACUGUCUUCUCAAGUCAGACGCAGGAAGCUGGGCCAGCCCCAGGAAGGCUGGGCUAGAGUUGGCAAUCGUUUGGGAGGAGGAAAACAAAUCUGAUGGACUGCAAGGGGAAGCGGCUGGGUGUGGCGAGGGCAACGGCUUCCUCAUCUCUGUGUGAGCCGAAGAAAGGGGUUCCGAAAGGGACAAGGAGCUAUGUGUGAGCCCGUAUGUCUUCAGGGGAUAAAACGCUGCUGUAUGUUAAUCACCCCUGAACUAGAGAAGGACUCACAAUAUUUUUUUUAAUUUGAGUUUAUUUUUAAUUUCAGCUUUAUUGAGGUAUAAUUGACAUAUAAAAUUCUAAGAUAUUUAAAGUGUACAUCAGAAUGAUUUAAUAUAUGUACACUCUGUGAAAGGAUUCCCCUGUCUAACUAACUAACACAUCUAUCACCUCACAGAUUUAUCUUUCUUUUUUUUUUUGGUGAGAACAUUUCAAUUCUACUCUCUUAGCAGAUUCAUCAUACCUUCAUGCCUCUUUUCCUCAGACUGUCAAUUGUAAUUACAUACAAGGGAAGUGAAGAGUUAUUUUAAAAUAUUAUUGGUGCCAAAUGAGUAAAUGGGUGGGGAAGAAGGAAUAGUCUUUUACUGAGGGACAACAUUUGUGAGGACUUUAAAAAAUCUAGAAACUCUAAAAUCAAGAGAAAACUGCGUCAAUAGUUCAAAUGUUUCUGAAUAAGUCAAGACAGAGGCAAGAUUGUCAUUGGAAAGCCAAGUUCACUCAUCCAUCCUAGGUCCUGUGCCAACAUCGAGCAGAGCCUAAGGGAACCUCGCUCGCAGGGUCCCCAUGGUCCUGCUAAGAUGCCCCCCUGUCCUGGACACCAGUGGUCCCAAGACGACAAACCCUGAGAGAUCCCUGACAGUCACCCUCUUCCUUCUGCUACCAGCGUCCCAACUUUGCUCCAACAUCAACACGGACAGUUCCAGAGGAUGUGCCAUCUGGGUCUAAGCCACUCAUUGCAAUCCUGUAUCCUUUUGACAUUGGGGAUUGGACUAAGGCAGGGUUAGGGUAUGUCAAUCUUUUUUUCAUUGUUGACAUCCUAAGGAACUAUCUUAGCUAUUUUUUUCCCUAAUCAACCCUCUCUGCCCCAUGACAUUUUAAUACCACAGAUAUUCUGAAUAUCUGUUUAUGUAGUGUAUGGAUAUUAUGGUUUGUUUAUAAAUAAAAAGAUUUCUUUGCCCCUGCCAAGAACUUAUUUUUACCCCUUUGGGGGUGAUAUGGUCCCUGCUGAGAAUGCCUGGUGUAAGGGAUUGCAACACUGUUGAUAAUAGCAGACUGGAAAUCACUUAAAUGUCCCUCAGUAAGGACUGGUGAAAUAAACUAUGCCACACCCGAGGCAUAUGACACUAUGUAGCCACACACACACAAAAUGAGGAGUCUCCUAUCUACUCAUAUGGCAAGAUUUCCAAAAUAUAUUAAGUAAAAAAUGCAAGGAACAGAUGUGCCAUUCUCGCAAAAACAGGAAGAAUGGAAAUAUGUAUUUGUAUGUGCCCAAAUUAUCACAGAAAAGAUAUAUGUGGCACUAGUGACACUGGUGACUUAGAGGGAAGACAACUAGGUGACAACAGGAUGGAGAUGGGAGACAAAACUUUGACUGUCUACACCAUGUGAUUGUGCU